AUAGACUUAGGUGAUAUAGGGAGUGCUAGCCACUAUUAAACCACCAAGUUUACUCUUCAUGCUCGAGACUACAAAAUGCAACUCUUCUGACACAUGACAGUGUGUUAAGAAUCAAUUAUGGUGAUGUGUGUGAGAGAUGCCCAUUGCAGGACUCAUGAGCUCGCAGGCGUCUCCAGUACACAGAUUCAUGUCAUCACAGAUGCCAGCAGCAGCCGCUGAGUGAGCGGUAAAGGUCAAGCAUGUAAAGGUGUACAUCCGCAUCCGACCCACAGCCAGUUUUGACCAUUGAAUGCCUACCUGACCAUCAGGUAACCUUUGCCAUGUGCCCGAUUUGAUCUUGUUUAAAUGUUUUUUAUUGUAAAUGUAACUAUAUGUAAAGCGAUGUUGUAUUGUUUCUUGCAGCCUGUUUUUGUAUUACUCAAAUGAAACACAAAACAAUUCCCACCAAUUCAAAUAGCAGUUAAAACAAAAUACAACCCAAGACAGAUUAUUGCAAAUACUACUUGUGCUUACAUUUUUAAACAAUUGUAAGAUUAACAGUUUCUUCUGGAAAUGUGAGAGGAUGGAAGGGUCUACUACUAUUAUUAUUAAAAAAUCUUCAUUUAUGAUAAAAUAAUUGUCCAAAUCCACUUCCAUACAUGCUCUCCAUCUUAAAGCAGGGGGGAAAGUUUGAAUACUGGGGUCUUAACUGCAUUAAGAUGAAAUUUUUUUUUUCAGCAAACAAUAAGUCUAUUUCCCGUAAACAGAUUUUUUUUUAUCAGGUGUUUGCACGGUUAGGGGCAAAGGUUUGUUCUUAUCUCUCAUCACUUCUGUUGACAAAUUGGUUAAUGAAAAUCAAUAUGACAACCACCAUCAGAAAGCCAGAAACUUCAUUAAAGAUCUCAUUACAUUAAAGUAAUUGACAAAAACUUGAAUGUUUUACCCACAUGGCCUAAAAGAACUGCUAAAGUUCAGAAUUGGAUUUUCAUAUUUUUGUAACAAAAUCAGUGAUGAAUAACAUUUCUGCCACUACACCACAAGGGGGAGAAUAACAGAUUCCUUGGAGAACAUGCUCUUAAUAAACAGUCCUCCCGAUCGUUUACUAUACACAUUGAGAUUCGCUCUGGCACACUGUCAGAUUGAAAAUACAUCACCUCUAAACUGAACCUGGUGGACCUGGAGGGAUCUGAAAGAAUUUGCAAAACUGGGUUCAGUUCGUUUCUCCUCUUAGCAUAACCAUAAGUGCCUUACAGUUCACCAGGACACUGUUGAAUGUGUACUGUCUGUCUCAGAUAUUAGCACUGUCUGCACUAGUUUAUUAAUCUUGGCAAAUUCCUCAAAUGUUUACUUUUUUUCACUCUUUGUUUUUUGCUCUAAUCAGAAAAUCAAGUCCAAAGAGAGGUUGUGUAGAUCAACAAGUCCAUGUCUUUCCUGGAGCAGUUUUCAACUCUUCGCUUUGCCACCAGAAUGAAAUGUGUGCAGACAAAGCCAUCAAUAAUGUCGAACCAGUGCUUCAGAUGCAAAGACUAGAGAAAGAAAUCAAGUUUCUUAAGGAGGAGUGGUCAAUGUAUAACACACUGAGAUUCUCUAUGGGGUUCAGGUCUGGGGAGUUUGCUGGCCAGUCAAGCACACCAACACCAUGGUCAUUUAACCAACGUUUGGUGCUUUUGGCAGUGUGGACAGGUACCAAAUCCUGCUGGAAAAUGAAAUCAGCAUCUUCUAAAAGCUGUUCAGCAGAAGGAAGCAUGAAAGUGCUCCAACAUUUCUUGGUAAAUGAGUGCAGUGACUUUGGUUUUCAAAAACACAAUGGACCAACACCAACAGAUGACAUUGCACCCCAAAUCAUCACAGACUGUGGAAAGUUAACACUGGUUUUCAAGAAACUUGGGCUAUGAGCUUCUCCACCCUUCCUCCAGACUCUAGGACCUUGGUUUCCAAAUGAAAUACAAAACUUGCUCUCAUCUGAAAAGAGGACUUUGGACCAAUGGCAACAGUUAAUUUAUUCUUCUACUUAGCCAAGGUAAGACGCCUCUGACAUCGUUUGGGGUUCAGGAGUGGCCUAACAAGAGGAAUACGACAACUGUAGAAAAAUUCCUUGACACGUUUGUGUGGGGUUGUUCUUAAUGACUUGAACCCAGCCUCAGUGCAUUCCUUGUGAAGUUCUCUAAAAUUCUUGAAUCCAGUUUGCUUGACAAUCCUCAUAAGGCUGCAGUUCUCUCAGUUGGUUGUGCAUCUUUUUUUUUUCACAUUUCGUUCCACUCAACCUUCUGUUAACAUGCUUGGAUACAGCACUCUGUGAACAGCCAGCUUAUUGGCAAUUCAUUUUUGUGACUUACACUCCUUGUGAAGGGUGUCAAUGAAUGUCAGGGACCCUUUUGCAGGCUCAGGAAAGCUUUGAAGGUGUUUUAAUUGAUAAGCUGAUUGGCAUGUCAACAUAUCCUAAUUUGUUAAGAUUGUGAAUUGAUGGGUUUUUAUUAAAUGUGAGCCAAAAUCAUCACAAUUUAAAUAACCAAAGACUUAUAGACUACUUCAGUCUGUGUGUAUUGAAUUUAUUUAAUACAUGAGUUUCACAAUUUGAGUUGAAUUACUGAAAUAAAUGCACUUUUCCUUGACAUUCUAAUUUAUCGAGAUGUAACUGUACAUCCAAAAUCUGAUGCUUUUUACAUACCACAAUUAUCCCAUCAACAAAUGACCACUAAUUUUGGGUUUCCCAAACUUUAAUGUGCUAUUUACUUGUAGACUAAUCUGGUUGGAGUUUCUAAUGAGAUCCUUUCAGAGACGAAGGUUGUGGAAGGGAGGAGUCCGGUGCAGAGAUACCUUUUUGGUAGGGAUGUAACGAUUAACCGUGAGCUGGUUGAAAAUUGAUUAAAAUGUGUGAUGAUUCAAAUCGGUUGAGAUGCUAAACAAAUCGCGAUUCAUUUAGGGGUAGGAGUUUACAUGAAUGUAUGUCUGAGGGGAACUUAAUGUCUUUAAAAGUUUAGAUGCUAUUUUUCCUUGUUAUCUUGCCUCUGUGUAAUGCAUUUUAAUGUUCAU